rnacentral:lncRNA from 1 species
GAUGUUGUUUGAUGAAUGAAUGUUGUGGAUCUAAUUUGUUUGUUGAUAUUGCUGAGGAGGUUAUAGAUCUGAGUGAACGGUGGUUGCAUUGUUUAUGGUGUGAUGAUUAUGAAGUUUGCAAAAAAAGAUGAUGAAGAUUAGGGAAGUAGGUGAUUGAAUGUAUUUUAAAAACAACUGUUUUUAACCACUACUAUUUUAAAUUAAUUACGCGAUGUGGCUAUGAGGUGACAUGAUGAUGUUGUUU